GGUUGCCAUUUUUCAAGCUGCUAAACCACGAGUGGCAGCAGGCCUAAGAAGCUCCUCAGCAACAUGGAGACCUCGAAGGGAAACUGGCAGGAGCAGGGAGUCACGUAGGCACUAGCCUCUUCAUGUGAGGUCCGGCGUGUCCACGGAGACUCGGACGUAGCCCUUACCGCGGCGUAUGGCGUUGACCGGACACACCUUCCCCGGGAAUGUGUGAAUACGGGCGUAUGACUUUAGAAAUGGGGGCGUGUGCUGCGCCAGCAGGCUGCGCGGAUUCAGGACGCUUAGCACGAUGUCCUGGUCAGAGUGCAUAACGAAGAAGGGCUUGAGGAAUACCUCGUUGUCUUCCGCUCCAAAGAACAAGAACGCAACCGUAAAGUAGCGGCUGCCGUAGGUGGUCGUGUUGAAGGAGAAAGAAGUGGGCCGCAGGCGGCGGAGGCUGUUCCUGAACGACGAGCGCCGGGACGCUAGUGCUGCAUGGGCUCCUCCGGGGUAAGCUUCGGCCAUGGCCGGAGCUCGUCGACGGGCAAGGUGCCCAGCGUCAGCAGGAUGCGCCUAUAGCGCCCGGCCUCCUCCCCUGUCGACCAGAGGACGCAGGAUAUCUGCAGGAUCAGGUCAGCCUCGUUGGUGGCCGUGGGGAAGCCCUCCUCCCCCAGACACUCGAUAUCGAAGGCCAGGGCCUGGUAGGAGGGCCAGGAGCUGUCUUCACGCCGGACCGAGAGGUCGCCCACCUCACAGUCGUACUCGAGCUCGGCGUACGAGUCCCGGUGCUGGAGGCGGGGGAUGGCGCGGCGGCAGCUGUACCAGCCAAAGGUGACAAAGUCAUUGUCCAGGACAAAGCGGCGCGUGGCAUCCACGUUGGCCUCAAAGAUCCGACACCCGUGCUUGUCUUGCAGCCACGUGGCCACGUGACACACACUGUUGGGAUGGGAGAGGGUGAUCUUGUGGUAGUCGCCGGCAUGGUUGCCGUAGCCCAUAAUGGAACGGCGCGUGACCUUCUCCACCGAGACCCGGCAGGGGGUCCUGCGGUCGAAGGUGCUGGCCUUGAGGGCGCUGAGGACUGCAAACUCCACGUCCAGACCCUGAGGCGCGCUGGCGUAGAAGUAGGCCUGCUGCCCAAACACGUUCACACACACGCUGGCCCCAUCGGCCUUGCGCCGGCCCAGUAGCUUGAUGACGAUGCCACAUGGCACCACAUACCCCUGUUUAUCCGAUGGAAUGACGGCGCAUUUCUCGUGCGUGUACACCGUCUCGAGUAUGUCGUAGACAUGGAAGUCCAGAGGGCUUCCGUGGGUGUCUGCCUCCGGCCUUGCCGUGCCCUCUUGGGCACGCUGGCGCCACCACAUGCCCUUUCCAUCCUCGUCACCCCCCACCACCGUCAGGGAGUCUUGGUAGAAGCACAGGGGGGGCUGAGGCCCCCGCACAUCCACCACCCCUGCGGCGCCUGGUGUCUGGAAACACUUGGGAAUGAGACGCAGGUACUCCUUGUCAGGCUUUUUCAGAAGGCCUUUAUUAGGUCUUAGGAAAGGGUUAUAGAAGAGUCCCCCGGACAUGGUUAAAACUCAGUCUCUGCCUCCCCAAGCAGUGCGGCGGCGGUCUCUGGAUCGUGAUAGCGUCUUCUGCGUAGGCCUGGAAAACGGUCCCUGGCUGCCUGCAAUGCUCUGCUGGCCACUGAGGGUCCGGCCGCCCUCUGAGCUGCUCUCUUUUGCUCCUGGUUUUGCUCAUGCAGCGCUAACAUGAUGGCUUGUAAUUCUGUCUUACUAAUGGGAUUAAUGCCUGGACCCUCACCAGAGGCAUGUUGCUGAGCGAGCUCGUCGAUCCCGGGGUAGAGCAUCUGCACCGGCUGCUGCGACAUCUGGCGCGUGCGCCUCGUGAGGGAAAUAACCAGGAUCACCACCCCCGCCACCAGGACCAGAAUGAGCAUGCCGCCGAAGGGGUUUUUGAAGAAGGAGAUGAAACCCGAGACCAGGCUGCUAAACAAACCCCCCACCGUGCUGACUAGGCCGGCGAUGUUUUGCGCCUGGAAGUUGUACUCCCGGAAGAUGCCCUCCAGGUCAAAGACGUUGGAGGCACGCUGUUCGUCCCGCCCUCCGUGUGAUUCUCCCGCGUGCCAAACGAGGGACACUGGAUGUCCGAGGAGAAGCGGAACAGGUCGCCGUGGCUGGAGAGCUCGCAGACUCGGAAAGGAAAGCUGGUUUGCUGACGCGUGGCGGUAGGCUGCACCGUGGUGGCGGGGGGUGCGGGCUGCUCUGGGGUCUGCGCACCGAGGCGGCACGCCAGGGCGGCUAGCAGCACGACCACGCUUAGCACCCUACGCCGAGUCAUCUCUCAUUUGGAGGUGCAGGUAGAGAAGGGCAUAUAGAUCCUUAAAUACCCACCCCCUGCCCUUAUACAGAAGAAUUAGGGGGCGGUCAGAGUCGUACGUGAGGUAAAGCCCAUCCGGGGGCAGGGCCUGGCCGGGGCUGACCGCGUCCGCCCGGCGCAGGAUCAAGGACCGCCCCCAGGUCUUGUUGUAGAGGGACACGGUUAGGACGGCCUCGCGCAGCGCCCGGCACAGAAUUUGCUGGCUAGAUGCCAGUGAGCCCCCGGGUACGCUGUAGAAGCUGUUGAAGGAGGUCUCUAUCCAGUCGCUCGGCUCGAUGCCUGGCCAUAUCAGGGAAGUCAGGAACGCCUUCUGGUGGGGCAGCGUACCUGCGGCGUCACAGCAGCGAGCCAGGGCCACGUUGCUGGGUGGGGGAAAGAGCCCGCUCUCCUCCGCCAGGGGCCCCGUGAUGAAGGUGUACAGGCUGUGCGUCAGCGCGUGCAGGUGCUCCGAGCUCAGGGUCUGGGUAAACAGGUGUGUUUUGAUGUACUUGGAAUUCUCAAAGGCGGCACCCUCGCCGGCGCGCCUGUCCUCCCAGGGACCCGAGACGAAGGCCCGUCUGUAGAGGAAGUGGUUGCGCAUGCGGGCCAGCUCCCAGUAGACCACGUCCCCCCAGACGCGCAGGCACAGGGUCUCGGUCAGGGUCUCGCUCUGUUGCGCCAGGCAGGACUGCAGCUUGGCCAGACCCUCGGUGGCCACCUGGCGCAGGUACUGCUCCUUGCGCUUGAGCGCGUCCGAGAGGGCGCCGGACGGGCCGGGCUCUCGUGCCCCAGCCGGCCGGGGCACCUCCGGGCUCUCCCGGGACGCCUCCUCCUCGCCUCGGCCCAACCGCUGCAUGGCUCGGUUGAGCCGCGUGUAGAGCUCGUUCCUCUUUUGCAGGAUGGCCCGGUACUGGGGGUGCGCCGUGAAGGCGGCGGCGCAGUCCGCCUUCAGCGCCUCCACCGCGUCGCCCGAGGAGCUGUAGACCCCGCCGCAGAAGAGCCGCUCUGUGGCCCCGGGAGCCACGGCAUCAAACAGGUGAGUCAGCCUUGCCCCCGCCAGCGCCUCCUCGCAGGCCCGCCGCACCAGGGCCAGGCGACGCUCCCGGGCAAACAGGGCAGAGAGGCGGGAAUGGCCGCCACCCUCCCCCUGCCCCGUUGCACCGAUAGCAUGGCCGCCAGAGUUCCAAUAGAGGAGCUCCGAGAGUUCCGCCACCUCCGGGGGCACUGUCGAGAAGACGUUGUAGGUGUCCAGCGCUCUGGUCGCCCCCUCUGCCUCCGGCCGCCCCGGGCCCGGGACCGCGCCCUCCUCUGGGCCGCCCGGCCUCGCCUUCUCCUCAGCCUCCAACAGGUGCCCGAGCCCAGCCUGCCGGACUUCAUUCUCAAACAGUCCCGAGACCGGCUCCGGAUUCACCGGCACCGCCAGGUGGUUACAGGAGAUGUGGGUCCCCUCUGCCGUGGAAGGGUUGCCGUGGUUGGGCAGAACCAUCAGCUCGCCCACACAGCGCCAGCAGGGCACAGAGGUGAUGUAGAGGCGCGGGUCUGGGAUGGGACUUACGCCCCGAAAGCGGCCCAGCAGAUCCAGGGCCCGUUCCAGGCUCUCCAGCCCCAUGGUGUGAGACAUGCAAUAAAACACGCUAUUGAUUCUCUUC
rnacentral:precursor_RNA from 1 species